rnacentral:sRNA from 2 species
UUGUAAAACGCGAAAAGUUAUAUGAACUUUGCAGGGGUAUCCCCGAUACUAGAACGCAACGUUUUAGGCCACGGGUCACUGGUGGUAACAGAUGGACACUGGAACCAUGGGGCUGUGCAAUUGCAGGGUUGCAAUGGCUCAAAGGUUCGGAAGAUGAGUCACCCGUGGAAAGGUAAAAAGCUUACCUGAACUCAAUAUCUUGUAAGCAUAGCCAAAGGUUUUGGAAGAUGCUUGGAUAGAGAGAAUUGGUUGAAUGAUGAAAUGGAGAGAAUCGUUGCAAUAUAAGUAUGAAGUCACAACAAUCUAUGUUCCACGGGGAAGGAGGGUGAUCUUGCUUCAAAACUGCGGAAGAAAGACGUAAUCGAGGUGCCGUUCGCCACGGAACAAACGAGCGGUUAGAUGACGAAUCAAUAUCUUUUUAUAAAAAAAAUACAGCAUGCUUAUGGGAUCUGAGGAGAAAUGACUCCACAGCCAACAAAUCAAGGCUGAAACGAAGGCGACGAUUGAGGGGGGAG